AGCCGGGUAGGGUAGUGGUCAAUCCUGCGGGGUUUUGGUCCCCGCGACAACGGUUCGAAUCCGUUCCCGGCUA
rfam:Arc I group archaeon T1lsi0528_Bin089 AMQ74_contig000006, whole genome shotgun sequence.